GAUAUAUUAUACACUCUAAUUACCUGUACCAAAUGAGCCCUAAAUAAGUUCUGCAAAAGCGAACAAGAUAUUGUUUUGGGGAUGGAGGAAGUGGCUUAUAGUUUGGAGUUGGACUUAUUUUACUAGCUUGAAGUAUUUUUUGCCACUUCUAGUUUGGAGCUGGACUUAUUUUACUGGCUUGAAGUUUUUUUUUUUUGAACACUACUGGCUUAAGAUAUUUAAAUCUAGUGCGUUUACCUUAAUGAAUAAAUUUAUCAUGAGGAAAUGAUGGAUAAUAAAAAUUUAUGCUCAUACUUAAAAUGAAAAUAA
rnacentral:lncRNA from 1 species